UGUGGGUUUUUCAGGCUAUGUGGCCAUGUUCUAGAAGAGUUUAUUCCUGACGUUUCGCCAGCAUCUGUGGCUGGCAUCUUCGGAGAAAGUGUUUUCACUAGUAAUCUCUAAAUCCUCCAGCGGAUCUCUAUGAUCAGUUUCCAGCAGAAUUGCUCUGGAGGACCUAGGGAUUUCUAGAGAGAAUGUAUUAAUCAAAUAUGCAAAUAAUCAAAACUGCAAAAGUCAAAGCCACAAAUGUGGAAAGUAUCUGACAGUAGUCUCUAUUUGAGACAGCCUUCUUAUGAAACCAUGUACAAGGGAAGCAGUUUGGACAUACAGUAUACAGACAUUCUUUAAAAUCCUGGAUAUGAAGCUCGAGCAUCCCGAGUGAAUACGGGAAGUGUCACCCUGGAUCUCUUGCUAUACCACAGACUUACACUGAAGGGUGUGAAAUUCAGAACUUUAUAAAAAAAAGAAAUCCCUUGGCAUCUGCUGAUGCCUCUUGCAUAAUCAUACUCUUCCUUCAGCCUCACCGAUUGUUGUUUCUCAGGGCUUCAGCGUACAUACGUGAAGGCUAGAUUUUUAUUUAUUACUCCAACUAGAGUCGGCACGUUGGGUCAGUUAUUGAAUGGUGAGUCAACACAAAGGUCCCAAACAGCACCAUUUAAAUAUUUCUGUGCACACUGACGUCCUGUAUGCAGGGAAAGAAAUUAAGUAUCUGUAACUGCAAGUAGAUAACCAUUGCGUAACAGGCAUGUAGUACUCGAAAAUGUUUAUUUUGGUAGUAUUAGAAUACUGUGGAGAAAGCCUGUGGCAAAGGUGUGUCUCCUUUUCUGUGGGCAUUUCAAAUUGUUAGCUUUCAUUCAGGUUAAACUUGAAAUGUCAAUGUUAGCAUAUACACUCCUCUUGCAAACAGAUUAAAGGUGAGUGCAUGCUUUUCAGAAGCUUUAGUACUUCUAAAAUUAUAUUUAUUGUCGCUGCUCCUGGCAGAAAACCCCUUUAGCUAAUUUGCCAUGAUAUGCCUCUCCAUUAGUUAUGUAUGUAUGUGAGUUCAAGUUGCCUGUCAUUAUACAUGUCAUUAAAAAGUAAAGCAUGUGCCUUCAAGUUAAGUCACCCGAAUUAUGGCAAUCUCAUAUACUCCUGUACCUCAUGUACUGCAUAAGGUUUUCAUAGGCAAGGAGUAUUCAUUCAGAGGUGGUGUGCAUCUGAAAUAUACCCUACAACAUCUGGUAUUCCUUGGCAGUCUCCCAUCUAAGUACGAACCAGGCCUGACCCUGCUUAGCAUCCCAAAUUAAGACAGGAUCUGAUGCUUUCAGGGUAUCUGCUGUGGUUGCAGAACAGUGACCAGAAGCAGAAGAUGGAGCUGUAGUAGUUCUAUAGAGAAGUUUGGAAGGUAUGGAUGCCCUUUCAGAGGUAAGGCUGCAUACUGUCACCCUAUCUAUUCACCCUGUAUGCAGAAAGCAUUAUCCACAGUGCAUACUCAGAGACAGAAGGAAUGAAGAUAGGAAGAAGGAACAUUAACAACUGAAGAUACAUAGAUGACACAAUACUACUAGCAGAAACCAACCAAGACCUAGAGCAGAAAAUAUCUUGUCCUUCAAGAAGGUCAAGGAGGAAAAUACCAAGGUUGGAUUAAUGCUGAACAUUAAAAAACAAGAAUAAUGGCUGUAGAAGGUCUACAAUAAUUCACCCUACACAAAGAGAAAAUUGAAAUAGUCAGAGUUCCUAUACACCUUGGAUCAUACAUUGAACAGAAUGGACUCUGCAGCUAAGAAAUUAGAAGACUUGGUUUGGGAAGGGCAGCUGUGAAAGAACUGGACAAGUUCAUAAAGUGUAAAGACUUAACUGAACACUAAAGUGAGGAUCACCAAAGCCAUUGCACAUCACCAUGUAUGAAUGUGAGAGCUGGAAAGUGAAGAAUGCCAACAGAAAGAAAACCAAAAAAUGGGUCCUUGAACAGAUUAAGCAUGAACUCUCCCUGGAAGCCAAGAUAACUGAUAAAUUGAGGCAGUUGUACUUGGCCACAUCAUGAGAAAUCAUUAGAAAAGACAAUAAUGCUAGGAAUGGUUUUGGAGCAUUUUGGAAUUCCAGAACAAGAGAGACACAACCUGUACAAUUGAAAGAGCUGAAGAAGUGAGCAGAGUUUAAUAAAAAAAACUUUAUCGUGUUGGAUAUUGAGCCAAAAGAAGGGGAUGGGUAGGAGAGAAACAUCUUGCUGAACAUGAUUUAUUUUUGUUUGCAUCUGAAGGUUUUAAGAAUGUAAAAUGGAAUGGAGGAGGCAUUACUCAGACUAAAUAUGAUUAGGCAGUGCAGGGUGCAAUUGCAGUUUGUAAUUCCAAUCCCACCCAGUUUCCGAAAUGCACCCCGACACAAUUGCAGAUAUUGCAGUUUUGGAGAUCUUGGCUCAGUAAAAGACAUGCUUGGAUAUUUUCAGAAAACAAUUGUGUGCACAUUUCAUAGCAUUUCAGAAUAUUUGUCAAAAUGGAAACGUGAACAUGUUCAUAGCACAGUACUACUUUUAAUUGUGGAGAAGACUGAAUGCAGGUUCAAUUUUGGACUUGAGGGUGUCAGUUGUCAGUCAGAGUUUCCCUAAAACGGCCCUUUUUGUAUUUUAGCGUGCAAACUUCUCUGCUUUCAGAGCCAGAAAGAAGUUGAGAGUUGUGCAAUCAUUUCUAUUCCCGCAGGGCAGCUCAGUUUUUGUGGAAUGAGUCUUGUCAAGAGUGCAGUUCUAGAAGUCAGCAUAUGCUGGUUACCAAGAGAGAGAAAAAAUGGAUUGUACAAACUAUAAUCAUUUAAAACUGAUGUCCAUAUUUAAAAAUUGAAUUUUACUAUUAAAUCUUGCUUCUUACAACAUUGACCCAAACAUCAUAAUUUUUGUAAAAAAAAAAAUUACAACUGUUGUUACUAGUGACUUUUCUGUAUGGCAUUACUUUUGUAGUCAGAGAAGUUGAAAACCAUUUCACUCUGUUGUGCUAUGAAAAUAAAAUAGAAGAAAUGAUUAUA